rnacentral:tRNA from 1 species
GGUUCUAUGGUGUAAUGGUUAGAACUCUGGACUCUGAAUCCAGCGAUCCGAGUUCAAAUCUCGGUAGAACCU